rnacentral:misc_RNA from 1 species
GGGAAAUAAAGGGGAAUCUAGAAGUAACUAGUUAUGUUACAAGAUUGAAUACACUUUGUAAAUUGUAAUUUCUGUUGUAUAAAGUACUAAUUAUGUUUUUACAAGCCACUGUUGACCAUCUAUCAACAAACUACUAUAGUGGGAAGUGGGAACUGAUGAGGUUAUUGAAGCAGUUCAUGAUGCCAUCACUUUACUUUGCAACCUUCUGCUGGGCGUAAAAACAUGCUUUAAUAUCAAUUCAAUUUGUGAUAUCUUGUUCAGAAUGACUGUUACCAUUUGUGUCACUCUUGUGUGCUGUCUUCCUAAAGUGUUGAUGUAAUAAUCAGUACUCCUUAAGCAUGGAGUCGCUUGUUA